rnacentral:tRNA from 1 species
AGUCUUAUAGUCAAAUUAUGAUAUAAAAUUGCAAAUUUUAAGGUGAAAAUUUCUAAGGCUU